UUUUAUUUUUAUGGUAGAGAAUGCAGUCUUUCCCACAAGUAGCCCUUGAGCCCAAAUAUAUUAACAGUUUAGGGAGAGGAAAAAAGGAACUUGAGCUUUAUCUACACAGAGGGACUAAUUGAAGUGCAGUUGGGCGUGGAGUUGCAUUUCAGUAGCUUUCUAAAGAUGUCUUCCUAUUGUAAGUGGCUCUUUUAAAAAAUAUUCAAGAGAAAAUUUGUUUUGCUUGAGUUAUGAUUUGUAAAUAUUAUAAUUUCUGGAGAUUUUAUAUUUUUUCAGGCAGAAUAGAUUUGUAGAGACGUAAGCAAUCAGGCAGCACAUGACAUUAGUUACCGUGGUGGUUAGAAGCCGGUCCAGAGCUCUUCUGCUAAAAUAGCAGCCAAAACCAAAAUACAAAACUUUUGAUUUUGGUGCUGAGUGAGGAACCCAGGGCCUUGCGCAUAGUAGGAAGCACUUCACCAUGGAGCUACUCCUCCAGCUCCGAACUUAUUCUUAUUAAAAAGACUUUCUCAAAAGAAGGAUUCGAGAUUUAAUUUUUAAGCUCUGUGUUUGUUUAUUUACUAUUUGAACAAGUACAUGAAUGUGAAUAUAGUGUAACACAAGCGCAAGGGCAUCAGGUCGUCACCCGUGCUGAGGUGGAAGCCAGGGCCCCUCUGUGUGCUAAGCAAGCGCUCACAGGAGCUGCUGCCUGCGAGCUCCGCCGUGUUCAGUGCAGGCUUGCACUUCUCCGGGGCAAGGGCUGCCCUGCUCAGCUCGUGCCUCACCGUGUGGAAGAGGAGCUGUGGGCACAGGGAGCGGCGGUCCCAGGAGUUACUGUCUAGCGCCAUGGAGCCUCAAAGAAAGAACUGCGGAAGCUCUUACUUCGUCUCCUUCCCUCACCUGGUCAGGCCUGAGCCCUACGUCCGCACUGUGAGAUGAGAGCACACUGACCCCGCCAGCUGCCUCUCCACCCCAGACGGAAGGAGGCCCUGGACACCGCAAUUCUCACACUGGAAUGGGGAGGGUGUUUCUGCUUAAAGUUUUUUGAAAAGCAGUAGCAAAUGGACCCAGAUAGUCCCAUACUGUGAAUAUUUAGUCAGACUUCUCUUAUUCACAUUUAUUCUGCAUAUUGCAUUAUAAAUAUUUAAGAGGAAGACAAAGGUGUAAAAUAUUCAGGGUGAUUUUUGUCAAUAAAAUAUCAAAAUGCUAACCUUCCUGUGAAUAUGGGAAUGUAUGGUACAUGUUUAUAAA
rnacentral:lncRNA from 1 species